rnacentral:ribozyme from 1 species
AGGAGGAAAAAGUUAAACAAAGCAUUUGAAGAAAAAUCGGUCGCAUCGAAUACUUCUCUUUUUUUCAUUUCUAUUUCUUCUUCAUGCUUGAUAAUACAAUCUAUAAAAUC